rnacentral:rRNA from 1 species
AACUUUCAACAACGGAUCUCUUGGUUCUGGCAUCGAUGAAGAACGUAGCGAAAUGCGAUAAGUAAUGUGAAUUGCAGAAUUCAGUGAACCAUCGAAUCUUUGAACGCACAUUGCGCCCGCCAGUAUUCUGGCGGGCAUGCCUGUUCGAGCGUCAUUUCA